rnacentral:ncRNA from 1 species
AAAUGUAGGUGGCUAUUUAUGAGAAAUGAUUGUUUAUAACAUUUCCAAAAGAUUGUCGAGCCACGACAGAAAACAUUAUGCGUUAUAAUAUAAGAAAUAUACAAAAAUGUCAAGUGUUCAACGGCUGCGCUUAGAGUAUCGGCACUCUUUCCCCCUAUAUUGUUGUGGGCGCCGUCAUCUUGGUGGUUAGUACAAAGUAAACGCAACUGCCGAUCGUCAUGAUUCAAUAGGGCGACUUCCUCAACAUUAGUUUCGAGCUCACGAUAUAUUGGUUUUCUUUGUCGCGAUCUGUUUAAACAAUUGUGGAGGACGGAAAAGCGUUUCCUGUGAUUUCAGAUAAAGCUUCAGAUAACUGACAGCCAUCAUUUUAAGCAUCUAAAGCGACAACCAUCACCUUGGUCCGACAGCAAAAAGCACAGAAAGAGAACGAACUGCUGACCUCGUGCUCUUGGCGCUGCUUCAGUGGCUUCAUCAGACCGUAGCAUUGGCUGCGCCCCGAACUAAGGUAAAGCAAAGCAAAUAAUCAGAUUUUAGGGUUUUACAAGCAAAACCAACAUAUAUGACACGACACCCCCCCCACAGACACACACACUCUAGCCUGUUAAAUAGGUGUGUGGUGCUCCGCACCUUCCACAUUUCUUAGAGGGACUAGCGACUCCUAACCGCACGAAACACAGCAAUAACAGUUCUGUGAUGCCUGUAGAUAUCGGGGGCAGCACGCGCGCUACACUGAAAGCAGCAGCGUGAUUUUAUUCCUGCUGUAAAGACUGGGUAAACCGUGGAACCUCCUUCGUGAUUGGGAUAGGGGCUUGCAAUUGUUCCCCUUGAACGAGGAAUUCCCUAUAAGCGCGAUCAUAAGCUCGCGUUGGUUACGUCCCGGCCCUUUUUACACACCACCCGCUGCUACUACCGAUUGAAUGAUUCAGUAAGGUCUUCGGACCUAUUCCCGAAGCGGCCUUAGUGUUUUGCGGAUGGGUUGGAAAGAUGACCAAACUGGGGAUCAUUUUGAGAAAGUAAAAGUAAUGUAGGGUGUGCGCAAAAAUGUAUUUUUAAGGAGGUAACUA